GGAGAAUCAAGAGUGAUGGGGAGGGUUUUGGCCUGAUGAUCCAUCCAGCAACCGUCCGUUAAGCCGGAGCGGUGCUAAACCCAACCCUUUAAGGGAGGAUUAGUC
rnacentral:ncRNA from 2 species